GACGAACGCUGGCGGCGUGCCUAAUACAUGCAAGUAGGACGCACAGUUUAUACCGUAGCUUGCUACACCAUAGACUGUGAGUUGCGAACGGGUGAGUAACGCGUAGGUAACCUGCCUGGUAGCGGGGGAUAACUAUUGGAAACGAUAGCUAAUACCGCAUAAUAUUAAUUAUUGCAUGAUAAUUAAUUGAAAGGUGCAAUUGCACCACUACCAGAUGGACCUGCGUUGUAUUAGCUAGUAGGUGAGGUAACGGCUCACCUAGGCGACGAUACAUAGCCGACCUGAGAGGGUGAUCGGCCACACUAGGACUGAGACACGGCCCAGACUCCUACGGGAGGCAGCAGUAGGGAAUCUUCGGCAAUGGACGAAAGUCUGACCGAGCAACGCCGCGUGAGUGAAGAAGGUUUUCGGAUCGUAAAGCUCUGUUGUAAGAGAAGAACGGGUGUGAGAGUGGAAAGUUCACACUGUGACGGUAUCUUACCAGAAAGGGACGGCUAACUACGUG
rnacentral:rRNA from 1 species